CAAAAAUAUGCUUCUAGGAUGAGAAUGAGACUGCAGGGUAGAAGACACACUUGAGAAGUGCUGGAGUAGCGUGUCCAUGGAUUUGUACAGACCUUGGGAGCCACUGAUUAUUCAUCUAUCAUGAACGUGUGCUAAGACUGCAAGCUGAAAAUCCCCUUGAGAGUUUUAUAGGAGAUGAGAUUUUUUUGACUGACUAAUGUGCCAUGAACUUUUGUUGGGUGUUUA
rnacentral:lncRNA from 1 species